AGUGUCUAAUAUCUCUAACAAAAGUUGCAUUUGCAGUUGUAAUUAUUAUAAACAGAAGAGAACAGAAUAAUCAAAUCAUUUAAUUAUUAUAGGUACAGUAUAAUAACAUUAGUUUUUGAGUUUUCGCAUACAAUCUAAUGGAUAAUUAAAAGAUCGUAUAUCCUAUAAAACCUAAUGUGAAAACACUCCUAGAAUUAGAUUAUUAUUUCUGAUAUCAUUAGUUAUAAAAUACUGUAGGUAACAAAUCAAAUGAAUGGUCAACAUAUCGUUAUUGAGCGAUCUACCGUGUAUAUGGACAGAGUAUAAAAGA